GGAGUUAUCUGUUGGUUGCAUCAGAUAGUCAUGAGGCUCAGUCCUGGUAUUUGUGCCCAGUUGAUCACCAUGCACAAAGACCCAAGGAAGACACGGAGGCAUCUGCACGUGCUCUGCCAGUCCUUGGCCUGGUUCCUGAUGUUCCGUGGCAAGGAAUCUGGCUCCCUGGGAACAGGGCGAAGAGGAGAACUCACAGAGAGGGAGGCUGCAGGGGGAGCCCCCACUCCCGUCCUCUGCGUAGGAAUACGAGGAGCAGGAGCUGGAGGUCCUAGUCCUGGUCUCGAGCGGAGAAUUCCCAUGGUCCUCUUGGGGGCGCUGGCACGCACUGUCCUUUCUGCAAACAAACAGGCCAUCCUCCCUGUUCAGGAGCUGGGUCUGCAGGAAGCUGAAGCAGGAGUCCUCCAGAUUGUGCAUGCGCAGGAACUCAGCACAGCGGAUGACCUCCCGGAUGUUCUCUCUGCUGAGUAACAGCUUGGCAGUGUAGGCAAACUGUAGCAGUGGCCCAAAGCCCCUGGCCGUGACCUGCAAAACAAACAGGGAAAUCGCCAACGUUACCAUCAGCACUGCUAUUGUCCUGAAUUUCUCAACCAAAGCAAGAUAACCAGACAGUUGCUAAUGCCCUAAAAUAAAAACUGCAAAGGAGCAGUUAAUCUCAUACUGGGUCAGCAAGGCUUCUGCUUCCAAUAAUUAGUGGUUGUCUCGUGCCUGCCACCUCCGUCCUUCACGGCACCAGCAGAAUUGAGAAUCGCCAAGGUCAAGUGGUGAGAUUCUUAUGAAGCCCGCUGCUGACCCCGGGGGAAGGGAGACAGAUCUACAAAUCAUGUGAACACAUCAAACAAGAGCAGCUGUCUUGGGUGCUUGCUGCAGCUACAGUGGCAGUGAUCAAAAGUUUCUGCGGGGGAGGGAGUGGGAGGAAGAUGGAGCGGUAAGCUGGGUGGCUGACUUCUGCAUGUCUUAAACUUCCUGCAGCACAGGGAGCCAGCCCAAGCUCAUUAAGAGACCUGUCUCCACUGCACAAGAUUCAACCCACUGUGCUCUCAAAACUCUUGGAGCCAGAGAGAGCAAAGAUCCUGGAGUCUCCACCGAAUGGGAUUUUAAAUGUCGAUGUUGUGGAAGUACUUGAUAAAAACCAAAUAUAAAUAACCUGUUAGGUAAAUAAAUAAAUAAAAUAAACAAUCUGUUAGUUCAGAGGGAUUCAGCCAUCAGUAACAAGCCCAUUUGGAAUAAAGACAGAGAAAUCCUGUAUGGAAGGAGGAACUAAAUAAAAGGCCAGAAAGGGAGAAGUUAAAUUGUUACAACUUUCAGAUGACAUGAUUUUUAAGAACAAGUAACCCUGAAGAGUCCAGUGUUUAUGAUCAUGAACUAAGAAUAAACUUAUUAAACACAAAAAUCAACAUACGAAACCAAGCAGCACUUUAUAUACUAGCAGUGAGUUGUCUGAAGUGGAAAUCCCAUUUUCGAGAGCUACAUGAAACAUGGAGGAACAAAUCUAACCAACGAGGUUAAAGAUCUCUACAGGGAAAACCAAUAAAACAUUGAAGAAAGAAGCUGGAGACAUAGAGACAAACAGACGGAUACUCUGUAUACGUGGGCUACAAGAAUUAAUAUUGUUAAUACAUUCAUAUUGUCUAGGCAAAUCUAUAUACAAUCUGAUUCAACCA
ensembl:antisense Bach2os BTB and CNC homology 2, opposite strand